AGUACCUGGAACGCUACCACCUGGGUAAGUUCCGGGCUGUCCUACUCCUGGCAUACCACCUGGAUAAGUUCCCGGCUGUCCUAUUCCUUGUAUACCACCUGGAUACGUUCCUGGUUGUCCUACUCCAGGAGUACCUCCGGGAUAAGUUCCUGGUUGACCAG